UCUAGAUUGUGUCGCCGCUCCCUGUGCCUCCACUCGUUGCCGAAUCAGCCCAUUGAAGCUCCUGCAAAAAUCGUCUCCUUCACGGCUUCACGACAUUCAGCCGACAACGGUGGCUCAUGCUCGGUGCUUCGCGUGUAGAGCUUACUUUGUCAAGGAUUAGCUGGUAUUCAGCCUGUUGACGUACCCAGGAUUGAAAAUGUUGAUGUAACACAAACCAUAGAAGGCCACUCUUCUUAUCUCUGGAAGAUAAAACAAAUCUUAGAGCAGCUUGAACUAGAUUAUUUCUACCCCAUUUUUAGCAGCACACAUUCCAAAUCCCAGCAAGAAAAAGCUUGUUAGUCUAGCUUUCACUUCUUUGGUUUGAUCUUACACUUCUACCCCUUUUCCUUUUCUCUGUUUUCUUCCUUCGAUGAACUUAAUCCUUCUGACUUCUCUCUUUUCCUUCCUUGAUAUAUAAUUUAUUCUCUCUGUAAUUAGCUUCUAAGUUGUCUGCACCAAUUAUCACAGAUAUGUCAAAUUAUGCCUCUCAAUUUGCAAUUAUUUGAGGAUGCUGAGAGGAGUGCAGUAGAUUACUUUGUACAAUACUUUGGUUGUAGUGGUCAAGUUCAAGGCUUCUUUGUACAAUAUAUGUAGAUUACUUUGA